rnacentral:rRNA from 1 species
UGGGGAAUAUUGGACAAUGGGCGAAAGCCUGAUCCAGCCAUGCCGCGUGUGUGAAGAAGGUCUUCGGAUUGUAAAGCACUUUAAGUUGGGAGGAAGGGCAGUAAGCGAAUACCUUGCUGUUUUGACGUUACCGACAGAAUAAGCACCGGCUAACUCUGUGCCAGCAGCCGCGGUAAUACAGAGGGUGCAAGCGUUAAUCGGAAUUACUGGGCGUAAAGCGCGCGUAGGUGGUUCGUUAAGUUGAAUGUGAAAGCUCCGGGCUCAACCUGGGAACUGCAUCCAAAACUGGCGAGCUAGAGUAGGGCAGAGGGUGGUGGAAUUUCCUGUGUAGCGGUGAAAUGCGUAGAUAUAGGAAGGAACACCAGUGGCGAAGGCGACCACCUGGGCUCAUACUGACGCUGAGGUGCGAAAGCGUGGGGAGCAAACAGG